rnacentral:ncRNA from 1 species
ACAGUACAAACUGAACAGGCAAUGGCCAGCAGGCCAUUUGCCGGGCCAUGGAGGCAGCAGACAUGAAGCAUCUGCGGGACAGU